AUUCUAGAGAGAAGAUUGACCAGUGAGCGAAGAACUCCCGAACGGUGAACUUGGCAGAUGUGUCUUCGAAAACUGAAUCAAAGUUGAUGCGUUCAGCUCGACGGUGUUAUUUUUCUGAUCCGCGAUGACGUUACUACCGAUGUCUCAGAGAAUCGAGCGCAAUUCUAGGGAAAACGAAGUCGCGGCAGCAGCUUCAAGGCUCACCAAACCCACGAAGAAGAAAAGGUGUAUCAAAGACAUCGAAACCAGUUGAUUAUAAACAAGCUGAUCCGAAAGCUCGAAGCUUUAAAGUAAUCUUCCCUCCUAAAGUUUCAGAGUGAAAAUCUAAGAGUGACGGAGUUUCCCUCCUUCCGUUGCAGAAAACGAAGGUCUGUGUUUUGAAACGACAAUACUUUGACCGGUGAUAAUGUUUGUUCUCCGACUACUUUUCGUAAUGGGUUUCGUUUAUACUGUUAUUGACCCAUUACUAAUUACUCAUUGUCCUAAAUAAAGGUCCGUCUACGAACCGGAGAUAGG
rnacentral:lncRNA from 1 species